rnacentral:sRNA from 1 species
GCCAGGCAUGGUGGUGCAUGCCUGUAAUCCCAGCAGCUUGGGAGGCUGAGGCAGGAGGAUUUCGAGUUCAAAGCCAGUCUCAG